CUACGCCCACAGAGCGCCGAUCAGUCAGUGGAGAGAGCAUAAAAAGCCGGUCUUCAGUGGUGUCAGGCUAUCCGGUCGCCAUGGACAGAAGAGUGCUGCUGCUCGCCGCGUUGCUGCAGGUUUUCCUGCUCGCCGUAACCUCACCCUCUGCAGAGGCUGUGGCUCUCAGGCAGGCUGCUGAUCAGGACCUGGACCCAAGAGUGACAGUCGACGUUCCUUCACCAGGGAGCAGACAAGCAGUCCAGCGGGUGACGCGACCACCAGGUCUCUGCGGUUUCAGGUUGGGGGGCUGCCAUCUUUUUGGCAAAGUUCAACCGAACCAAGGCACAGGAGUCAUAGCGAUUGACUCUGUAAAAGACAAGAAAGUCCAAAAGAACCCACCGACAGAAAUUCAACAGUGAGCACAGCCGUCAGAGAACAGCUGGAGGAAGAGGACCAGCGGAGGGCCACAACUGUCAUCUGAAGCUUUCCUGCUUGUUUUACAGAAAAACUCCCCAAACAUUGAUGGCUGCAUGUCAGAUAAUUAUGUUAUUUGGUCACUUUUGUAAUAAUUUGUCUACAUUUUGCAAUUAAAAUCAUAAUUUAUUGUGCAGAA